CCUACGGGAGGCAGCAGUGAGGAAUAUUGGACAAUGGGCGCAAGCCUGAUCCAGCCAUGCCGCGUGCAGGAAGAAGCAUCUAUGGUGUGUAAACUGCUUUUGUACAGGAAGAAACACUCCCUCGUGAGGGAGCUUGACGGUACUGUAAGAAUAAGGACCGGCUAACUCCGUGCCAGCAGCCGCGGUAAUACGGAGGGUCCGAGCGUUAUCCGGAAUCAUUGGGUUUAAAGGGUCCGUAGGCGGUUUAAUAAGUCAGUGGUGAAAUCUGGUCGCUCAACGAUCAAACGGCCAUUGAUACUGUUAGACUUGAAUUAUAAGGAAGUAACUAGAAUAUGUAGUGUAGCGGUGAAAUGCUUAGAUAUUACAUGGAAUACCAAUUGCGAAGGCAGGUUACUACUUAUGGAUUGACGCUGAUGGACGAAAGCGUGGGGAGCGAACAGGAUUAGAUACCCUGGUAGUCCACGCCGUAAACGAUGGAUACUAGCUGUUCGGAGCAAUCUGNGUGNGUAGACGAAGUAGANAGUAUACCACCGUCGGUAGGUACGUUCGCGAGAAGAGAACGACGAAAGAAGUAGUACGGACGUGAGACGUAGACGACGGACGACGACGAGGGGAGGAGG
rnacentral:rRNA from 1 species